CUUCGGAUCGUAAACUUCUUUUAGAGGGGAUGAAUGAGUUAGUGAAUAACUAACUGUGACAGUACUCUUUGAAUAAGCCACGGCUAACUACGUGC
rnacentral:rRNA from 1 species